UCUGAAGCUGCAGCAGGUUCGAGUCGAACGCAGUGAGACUACGGUGCCGCCUGCGGCGCCGGCCCGAAGGGCGAGCGCAGCGAGUCAUCCUGCACGCUCCACCA
rnacentral:sRNA from 1 species